UGGGAGCAGCCUUCCUUGGGCGGGCAAAGGGAGCGGGUUACUUGUCAGCACGAUGCUAGCCUGUGCUGGGCAGGGCAGCUCCAGCCUGUGUCUGUGGUAUGUCUGUUGUGUAUGUUGUCUUCUGUGUGUUAGCCCUUCCUCGGGUGUCAGCGCCCUCUUUUUGCGCUCAAGGGGCAUGACAUGCUUCUCGGGCACCAUCCCUAGGGUCUUGAAUGCCUGUACUCAUUGGCAUAGCGCCAGUCGGGCGCUUCUCUUCUUGCAUAGCAAGCUUACAGCGUGCAUCGUUCCUGCAUCUUGGAAGUUUCUGCUGGGUGCUCUUCUUCUUGCAGCCUCAUCCUAGGCUGUGGCGGGAGCUCUGCUCUCCAGCCAUCCCUUUUCAGGGACUGGGGCUUCCUCCCCGCAUCCUUGCGCUCCUAGGUCUUGAAGACUGGCUUCUUGCCACGUCCGUCAUCUCGGUUUUGACCGUAACUUCUUGUAACGGGCCAUCACAAUCAGUUCUCUUCCGGGGUUGCCGUAGAGCUUCCUCGCCUGGGCGUUGCGCCCUGUAGGUAGUCUUGCUCGACAUCGUCUCUGGUCCGGGAGUCAUUCUUCUCGCUGAGAGUUUUCUCUCAUCUUUGAGUUGCGUGGUUUGUAGCGUUCUCUGUAGCCUUGGUCUGUGUGCGUGCGUUGGGUGUGGAGCUGCUCUGCCCGGGGCCGUCGAGGAGUCAGGGUCAGGUGGACUAGCAAUAAGAGUGUACGGUUAGUAUGUUGAUAUGUCCGGUCUGGAAUGGUUUGGCUCUCGCUCAGCAUCUGGGUGACUUGUUUAAUAAUUUGGUGUGGUUUUUUCAGAUGCAGACAGACAAGAUGCGCACCAAAGAGCGGCGGAGGAGGCGAGCAGAGUGCUGUAAGGAGGUAGAGCAUAUUGGUGCUGGAGCUGACUUGGGUCAGAUGAGCAGUGACUCGUGGGCUGAAGUAGCAGUUAUUUUUCAGGUGCCGUAGGGAGCCUCAGAGGGGCAAAGCCACAUGCCGAUGAGCGGUCCGAGAAGGAGCCGCGUGGCCACGUUUGGAACUGGAUGCCCGUUUGAGGUGAGCUGAAAGAAUAGCAAGGGUGAUCCUGGGAGCGGUGACUUCUCCCCAGUGUAGGAGUCAUUUUGUGUGUCUGGUGCCACAAGUGAUGACAGCUGCAGUGUCUGUCCCUGGAACGAGCAGUAAUACCACAAGAAUCACCCAAAUUAAUGAAGGAUGAACUUUGAUGAAACUGAGCAAAGCAUAGCAGUGAUGGAACUAGAACUGACUUCAGUAACUGGCGCCCAGCAAGUUCCUCAAAAUCAACAACUUUGAGGUCCGACCCUGAGCCUGGACCACAUCAGCUAUGCCAGAUGUGAGCUCCAGAAGCAGCCACAACAAUCCAACAGUGUACAGCAUUGCUCCUGACCUGAGAGACUGUUAGAGCAGAUGGAGCCCCAAGUCAUGGACUAAAUGAACUCAAUGGACAUUUUAGAGGCAUGGCCCAUAGCCUAAGGGAAUGAUAUCUGUGUGUCUAAUUUUUUUUUAUAUAUAUGUAAAAGAGAGGGAAAGUGGUGGUGAUUAAUUGGAAGUGUUGGAUGAGGGCAGGAUGUAGAUGGUUUAGAAUAAA